UGUUACUUAUAAGAAAAAAAUCUUGGAAUAGUAGUAAUAAAUGAAAUUUAACGGAUUUGGCGGCAAGAUAGCCAUUUAGAGGAACCUGCCCUAUAAACGAUGAGCCACGAGGACCCUACUUUUGUUAGUAUUCAGUUUGUAUACCGCUGUUGUCAGUUAGUUUCUUUAGAAAACUCUCAUGCAUGGUAAAAUCAUUGACUUCAAGUAAAGGUGCAGCUAAUGCAAAAGAUAGAGGUGGGUUACAUUUAUAAGAAUAAAACGGAUAAAGUUAAUGAAAAAUCUUUUGAAGGUGGAUUUAAUUGUAAAGUUUAAAAAAACUUGAUGGGAGCUCUGUCUUGU
rnacentral:rRNA from 1 species